CGCCCGGCCCCGCGCGCUGCAGCCGCCGCCUCUCCUCGGCUUCCUCUUGCUUUCCAGUAACUCUCCUCCUGGGGAAAAGGCUUCUCACGGAGCAGGCUCGGAGCCUACGGGGCUGGCCUCGGACUGGAUGGGGAUUGGGGGCAGGAGCUGCUUUUUCAAUGAGAAGAAGGAACAGACCUAGUAGGCAUUGCCUUCAGACCCAGAGAAAAUGGAUAAUGAAGCCCACAGAUUUCACUCCAGAACUGACUUUGCUGCAGAGGAGCGAGGAGAGCUGCCUGGCAACACAACGCAUCGCUGUGCAUAAACUUUGUUUACAGCCAAGGCUGGAGUAAAGGAACAGAUGGCAAGAAAAUCGGAUUUAAAGAAAGGAAGGAUGUGCCUGCAUCUGGGAGCUCGGUAAAUCUCUUGGCUUCUGGUGUGCAUACAAGGGUGACGACUAGCUACCCCAGCAGUCGCAUCCCAGUUUGCUGUUGAUUUUUGCCUGUUUGGAUCUGUCUCUGAGGAUGGUUAAUACAUCUUAUUACAAGCAUUUAUCUCAUCCCUCCCACAGGAAAUGUGUUUUCCCAGGGAUUUGUAUGAUCCCUAACCUUUUAUGGAGAGCAGUUUCUUGAUCAUCCAUGUGAUUGUGUAUCUAAAAUUUCAAGAAUAUUUAAGCUGUUAAUCCUGCUUGUCUGUAAAAGAUGGGUUUAUAUUUCUAUGAUCUUGGAAAUAUUUACAAUGAGUGUGUAUAACAAGGAGAAAUAAGCAUAAACAUUUAUGCGUGCCACAUUCGUAAGCGUGCUUGCACACACACCCACUUCAUGCUUUAUUGUCUCUCUCCGGUGCUUUUCUCUGAAGGCAAAACCGUUUGAAGCAGCUGCCCCUCACAAUAUAUGAAAUAGCUAUUACCAAGGCUCACAGUAAAGCUGCCCAAGGCUUGCUUACCCCGCCCUCCAGAAGGAAAGUGCAAGUUACUCU
rnacentral:lncRNA from 1 species